GCAAACUUGGUCAUUUAGAGGAAGUAAAAGUCGUAACAAGGUUUCCGUAGGUGAACCUGCGGAAGGAUCAUUCAUAGUACUCUUUUAUAGGUAUUAUAGGCUCCAAUGUAAUUUUUGAAAGCAAAAUGGUAAUUUGCCGAGUAAAGAAAGGGAAAGAAGGGCUUUGAGAAUUUGCGAAAGGAGUUUUAUUAUUUCUAAGCAAGUGGAAGGGUCCCUUUCUUCAGUACUCUCGGCGCAAUAAGAGUAUUGCUCUUUCCGGAGAAGCAGUGUCCCAAGUGUGUAUAAGAAUUUGUUUUUUCAAGUGCCAACGGGAGAUUUAUGCAUUUUACUGUAUUUUUUGUACAACUUGUAACAAUGGAUCUCUUGGUUCAUGCAUCGAUGAAGAACGCAGC
rnacentral:misc_RNA from 1 species